rfam:Triticum aestivum genome assembly, contig: Triticum_aestivum_CS42_TGACv1_scaffold_061618_1DL
UAUGUACUCUCUCCGUUCCAUAAUACAUGCCUUUCAUUUGUCAAAAUAUAGAUGUAUCUAGACAUGUUUUAGUAUAUAGGUACAUCCAUUUUUGGACAAAUGUAAGUCAAGUAUUUUGGAACGGAGGGAGUACUCC